GAUGAACGCUAGCGGCAGGCCUAACACAUGCAAGUCGAGGGAGAAGCCCUUUCGGGGGCAGAAACCGGCGCACGGGUGCGUAACGCGUAUGCAACCUACCUUUCACAGGGGGAUAGCCCGAAGAAAUUUGGAUUAAUACCCCAUAAUAUUAUUGGAUGGCAUCAUUUGAUAAUUAAAACUGCGGUGGUGAAAGAUGGGCAUGCGUCCUAUUAGCUAGUUGGAGUGGUAACGGCACCCCAAGGCUACGAUAGGUAGGGGUCCUGAGAGGGAGAUCCCCCACACUGGUACUGAGACAGGGACCAGACUCCUACGGGAGGCAGCAGUGAGGAAUAUUGGUCAAUGGUCGGAAGACUGAACCAGCCAUGCCGCGUGCAGGAAGAAUGCCUUAUGGGUGGUAAACUGCCUUUAUAUGGGAAGAAUAAGGCGUACGUGUACGUUGAUGACGGUACCAUAUGAAUAAGCAUCGGCUAACUCCGUG
rnacentral:rRNA from 1 species